CCUACGGGUGGCAGCAGUGGGGAAUAUUGCACAAUGGGGGAAACCCUGAAGCAGCGACGCCGCGUGAGUGAAGAAGGAUUUCGGUAUGUAAAGCCCUGUUAGCAGGGAAGAAAAUGACGGUACCUGACCAAUACGCCCCGGCUAACUCCGUGCCAGCAGCCGCGGCCAUACGGAGGGGGCAAGCGUUACUCGGAUUUACUGGGGGUAAAGGGCGCGUAGGCGGGAUGGCAAGUCCGGCGUGAAAGCCUGUGGCUCAACCCUCGGACUGCUGUUGAAACUGCUAGGCUGGAGUGUGGGAGAGGUAGGUGGAAUUCGUGGUGUAGGGGUGAAAUGCGUAGAUAUCAGGAGGAACACCAGUGGCGAAGGCGGCCUGCUGGACUGUAACUGACGCUGAGGCUCGAAAGCGUGGGGAGCAAACAGGAUUAGAUACCCGUGUAGUC
rnacentral:rRNA from 1 species